GGCAUGCCUUACACAUGCAAGUCGUACGGCAGCACGGGGGCAACCCUGGUGGCGAGUGGCGAACGGGUGAGUAAUACAUCGGAACGUGCCUAGUGGUGGGGGAUAGCCCGGCGAAAGCCGGAUUAAUACCGCAUACGACCUAUGGGUGAAAGCGGGGGACCGCAAGGCCUCGCGCCAUCGGAGCGGCCGAUGUCAGAUUAGGUAGUUGGUAGGGUAAAGGCCUACCAAGCCGACGAUCUGUAGCUGGUCUGAGAGGACGACCAGCCACACUGGGACUGAGACACGGCCCAGACUCCUACGGGAGGCAGCAGUGGGGAAUUUUGGACAAUGGGCGCAAGCCUGAUCCAGCCAUGCCGCGUGCGGGAAGAAGGCCUUCGGGUUGUAAACCGCUUUUGUCAGGGAAGAAACGCGCCGAAUUAAUACGUUGGCGUAAUGACGGUACCUGAAGAAUAAGCACCGGCUAACUACGUGCCAGCAGCCGCGGUAAUACGUAGGGUGCGAGCGUUAAUCGGAAUUACUGGGCGUAAAGCGUGCGCAGGCGGUUAUGCAAGACAGAUGUGAAAUCCCCGGGCUUAACCUGGGAAUUGCAUUUGUGACUGCACAGCUGGAGUGCGGCAGAGGGGGAUGGAAUUCCGCGUGUAGCAGUGAAAUGCGUAGAUAUGCGGAGGAACACCGAUGGCGAAGGCAAUCCCCUGGGCCUGCACUGACGCUCAUGCACGAAAGCGUGGGGAGCAAACAGGGUUAGAUACCCUGGUAGUCCACGCCCUAAACGAUGUCAACUGGUUGUUGGACGGCUUGCUGUUCAGUAACGAAGCUAACGCGUGAAGUUGACCGCCUGGGGAGUACGGCCGCAAGGUUGAA
rnacentral:rRNA from 1 species